GGAUGCACUGGCAUUACUUUUUUUGAGGCAAACUGUACCUGGAUGUUUGCAGAGGACUGAUGGGAGCUGCUGUGUGGCCUUCAGGGAGAUGCAGACAUCCUUUGAGCACACUUGUAUUUUCACAGCACAUCCUGGGGUUUAACCCACACCAGUGGGACUCAAGAAGGAGGACCAUACACCUAUCCAUGCCAUCAGCCCCUCAGCUGCAUGGGCUCCUGUCCCAGCUGGGCAUCAGGAAUGUGCUCGUGUGCUGUUCACACUCUGCUGGACCCUCGAACCAUAAGAACAACACAUGGCCGGAUCCUUGUGUUCAGAUGCCCAGUUGAACUGAGAGGUAUUUCACUUAUGAGGACAAACGUUGGACGUAGAGAUAUGUGGACCGGAACCAGGCAGCGCCAAAUCCCUGAGGCUAUGAAAAUAGGUAAUGUUGGCGAUGGGAAUGCAUGUCAGUAACACUGCGUGUGUGUUCUGUGUUCUUCACGGAGCUGCGUGCACCGUUUCGCGGCAGAAAGCCGUGGGAGGAACUCCGGGUCCGAAUGCGCUCACCAACCACGGGGGUGGAGCAGAGCAGCGGUCCGUCCUGGCUCAGUUUUCUUAAGCCGCGGACCACAGCUGAACGCAGUGCUGAUUUUUAGAC
ensembl:lncRNA